UGAACGUGGGCGCUGGCAACAGCGCUUGAGAUAGAGCCCAGCGCUGCCGGCAACGGUGGCGAGCAACUGGAACCUGCGGAAGGAUCAUUA
rnacentral:rRNA from 1 species